GUUCUUAAUGAUUUCUUUCCUGAAUGAAUUUGCUUCUAAUCAAGAAUGUAUAGUCAUUUUUUCCAGGGGUCACUUUUAUCUCUGGGCCCUUUCUGUCACUUUGUUGGCAGCAGUGGUGAGGAUUUCCCUAGAAAUAUAUGCUGACAUAUAGGUAGACCAGAAGUGUGCUGACAGAGCCCUUCCUUGCGUCAAAGAAACAGUAUAUGGCAAUUAGAGUGAUUUCAGUUAUAAAAGUUGAUUAAUGAAAUGUAGUGUUUUCUAUAUUCCCCACUUGAAAUACAAACUCUGAGCUUUUCAUAAGUUUUCAUUUUUUUUUUAAAGUAACAGCCUUCUUCUAGAAGUUACACUCAUGAACUGUAGCCUCUCCACUAAGAAUUUAAAUUUUUAAAUUCACAUUUUAAUUCCUAUUCUCUCUUUCUCUCCAGUUCUCUUUCUUCUGUAUUUUCCAUCUGCAUUUAUAGUUCUCUCUUUUUCUUCCCUUUUCCCUCUAGCCACAGAUUCUCCAAGGAAGGACUGAGCACCACAAGAGAAACUCUGCUUUGUUUUGCCCAUCUUGCCUAUGAAAUUUUGCUUUCCUAACUCAGAAUUCUCAAAGAUGUUGCUGGAGUGAGCUCAGUAUCUUAUACCCUGGCAAAGCUCCUAGAACUGGUCGCAGUGGGAUUUCUGUUUUAGAAACUGCCUUAAGAUCUUUGUAGCAUCAUUCAGUUUGCUUUCCUAAAAGAAUUUCAGCCAAAUUCAUUUCCUUGAAAUGUUUUGCUGAAGUACAUGACCACUUCAUCAGUGUAAAGAUUAUGUAUAUAAAAUGCAAAUGUGUGUAUGUAUAUACUUGAAUAUAUAUAUAUAUAUGUAUAUACACUUACACAAACUAAUUAAGCCACUGAAGCACCUUCCUCUUAUACCCCCAAAGCACUUCCUUUUUCCCACUCAGUUGCUUUGACAGCACUGACUGUGUAAGGCUCCUGGGACUCUCAUUACAUUUCAUGUUCAAAUAAUCAUGUAUUUUUUACCUUAGUCAUAAUGAUAUAACAUUUAGGCAGUUGUACUUCUGUUUUAAAAAUUUUAAUUUAUUGUAUUGAAAUAUAGUUGAUUUGCAGUGUUGUGUUCAAGCGGAACAUAAUUGCUUUACAAUGUUACAUUAAUUUCUUCUGUACAACAGGCAGCUGCACUUUUGAUUUCAACUGCAGAUCAGAACUGUGGUGAACCAGUUGGUUAAGUGGAUGGAGGGGUGAAUGGAGUGGUGGGAGAGGUAUGGGAAAGACGUUCUUAUAGGUCAGGGUGGGUUGUCUAUGAGCAUUAAUAAAAGAAAAUUGCCAGUUUUAAUUUGAUUUACAACCAUGUUAGCAAUCGCUCUUACAGCGGGGAGAAAAUAUAUCAGACUUUGCAUGUGGACAUUUAAGGGUCUUAUAAUAUUGUUAUAAUUUGACAAGUCUCACUGAUUUUAAAAUUUAAGAAGACCACUCAUAGUAUAUCGUAUAAUCGUUCAUUAUUCCAGUCGUCAGCUAAUAUUUAGUGAGUAUUUACUAUAUGAAGACUCCUGUGCUGGAUCAGUGGCAUGGAUGAAACAUACUCUUCUUUUUUGAUAUUAAAAAAAGAUGUAUACAGAAGUAGCACCACAACACUUGACUUUCUUCAAAAGAAAGAAAAUUGACUUUCUUCAAAAGGUCACAUCUGACAUCCAUUUAAAUCUUUGUUUUUCUCAUCAUCUUCUGCAAGUCUUUAUUAUUAAUAGACUGGGGCUUAAGUUUCAAUGAAGCAUACACUUGACUUCAAUGUAUAUUCAGAUCAAAGUCUUUGUCAUUAAUUCAUUAAUUUAUCAUUAAAAAAAAACUCUUAGUGAGUACCUAUAGGCACUCAUUACUUGCCAACAAAUAUUUGAUGUUCUGGAGAUGCACAGAGAUCAGGAAGAUACUCAUUCUUACCCUUGAGCUUACAGUCUUGUGAGAGAGGCAGAUGUGGGAACAAAUCAUGUUGGUCACUGUGAGACAUGUAAAUGGGAGUAUAUAUCAGUGCUGUGGAAAUCUUAAAUUUGUCGUUGACUUUGUUGACUUGACAUUUCUUUUAUACCAGAUCUUUAUGAAAACGAAUUGGGGGAGGAAAACUGAUUUUGUCAGCUAAACACAGUCUGCUGCUUUAGGAACAUUUCUGUUCAGAGGAAAGCACAAACUUUGCUAUUUUUAUUUUAGACUGCUGCAUAUAUGUAUUUGGAUUUAAUAAUUGUUAAAUUUUGUAGAUUUAAUAUUUUUUAAAUUUUGUAGCUUAUUUUUGAAAUAAUGGUCCUAUUGAAAAGAAGCAUUUUAUAUUUCAUAGUUAGAGAGAUGAUGCAAGAAAUUGAUUGGAAUCAAGUGAAAGCAGGGAUAUUCUCACAUAGGAUGAAAUAUUUUCUUUGCAGAAGAUUCUAAAAUUGGAUAUUGACAUUUACAAUGGAGGGGUCAUCUUUUUCCAUGACUUCUUCAUGUCUCUCUAACUUGAUAUUUUGUUAGCUGAUUAUUAUAUUGCUCCUAGAGAUAUAACUUUGGUUGUCUCUCAGCAUCUAUUAGCAUCUGUCUCUUGCAACAGUUAGAAUUUCACUUAUGGCCUUUUGCUCUUCUAAGUAAUUGAAUUAAAUGAGGAAGCAUCUAAUCAAUUGCUGUGCCUUAUUUCCCUUCUCUGUCUCUCUUUCUCACACCCACACCCCACCCCCACACGCACAAAAUAUAAUAUGAGCUUCAGCCAAGUAAUAGUAAUACAAUUCUUUCCGUAGGAAAUAUCUAGGUAAAUGGAUCAAUUAAGCGUUUGUUUUCAAGUUGCUGCUCUUGGCUUCUGGGUGAUGGCUUUAAUACAAAGUAUUGUCUGUUUGAGUCUCAAAUGGAACAGAGGUUGUCUGAUACAUUGUAGACUGUGGCUGACUGCUCUGAUGUGGAGUCUAAUGAGAAGGCUGACCUCAUAUUUCAUGAUUGUAGCAUGAAUUUGUCUCUGAAUUAAAUCAGAAAAAUGGUUUCAGUUCCUCUUUCUGAAGAACAGUAUGUAAUACUAACUAAUCUUGUCUUGCCUUCCUCCUCCAUGGCUUCCCACCUUUGGGAAGGAGGUAAGAAGGCAGAAGACAGAGUCAUUGAAAUCAGAAUAUGCCUCAACCAAGAUAACACACACAAAGUGACUAAAUUCUCAGUAUUUGUUUAUUGUUGUGAUUAUUAUUUUCAUUACUCCACUUUUACAUGAACAUCUCAUGAUUAUAGGAUUGAGUAAUUUAAGUAUUGAUACUAAUAUAUCAAUUGACAAAUGUAAGAAAGAUAACAUAAUAUUUCCAUAUUUUUGUGGUAUAUCUGAUACAAAUGGUACUGAAGCAUAUUCAGGUCUGUGUUAGUUUUCUGUUACCACAGAUUUGUGUCUUGAAACAACACAAAUUUAUUAUCUUAUAAUUAUGGAGAUCAGAGUUUCUACAAUCAAGAAAUCAGCAGAGUUGCAUUCCUUCUAGAGGCUCCGGUGGAGGACCUACUUCCUUGCAUCUUUCAGCUUUUAGGGGCUUCCCACAUCCCUAGGCUCCUGGCCCUCUUUCAUCUUCACAGCCAGCAGUUGCAUCACUCCAGCCUCCACUUCACCUCUUCUCUGACUCUGACCCUUUCAACUCAUGCUUACGUGGAUCCUGUGAUUGCAUUGGGCCCAUCUGGAUAAUCUCCCAUCUCAAAAUCUUUUACUGCAUUGCAUCUACAAAAUUUCUCACACAUUCUGGGAAUCAGGAUGUGAAUAUAUUGGGGGUUCAUGAUUGUUCCUGAGAGGUCUUCCCUGGUGGCUCAGAUGAUAAAGAAUCUGCCUGCAAUGCAGGAGACCCAAGUUCAGUCCAUGGGUCAGGAUGAUCCCCCGGAGAAUGGAAUGGCAACCCACUCCAGUAUUGCCUGGAGAAUUCCAUGGACAGAGGAGCCUGGGUGGGCUACAGUCCCUGGAGUUGCAAAGAAUCAGACAUGACUGAGUGACUAAACUUCACACUUAUUUUCCCUGAUCGAAGUUCUGGUGAAAACCAUGACUAUUACUUGUUGAGCAGAAUCACGGGACUUUAGAUCUAAAAGUUACAUUAGAUCAGUCAUUUUAGAGAUGAGGUAACUAAAACUUAGUAGAUAAGGAUUAUACUACCUGGGGCUAAACCUAGGUCUUAUAUCUCUAAUCAGAUGACUUUUCCAGUUUGUAUGUAGCAUUUCUUAGCACUGUGCCCAUUGUCCAAUUAAUUACUUUUUUAAAAUUAAGAAGCCAUAUUAUAAAAUUCUAAAUAAUUUUAGACUGAAUUUGAAGCCACUUUCAAAUCUGAAGGCAGUUUAUCCUCUUGGACUUCAUUUUGACACAGUUAACAAAAGAGCUGGCUAUUUCAAAAUUAGUGUAGAGACUUGUUUAUUAAAGGGAAAAAUACUUAAGGCACUCCCAAGAAGCUUAUCAAAUUUAUAACUGUGGGUCCAGCUGGAAUAGUGAAACUCAGAAUUCUUCCUCUUUAGAGGGGAAAAAUAUGAUCUUUGUGAAUGAUUCUCCCCAUUCAGGCCACAAUUAAGAAGCUUCCAUAUAAAAAAGAUAAACAAUUGAUUUUUAUGAAAAGUGGGCCCGAUUAGAGCAACGUUAUUGCUUAUUUUGAUAGACUAUUUAAUGGACUGUUGAGAAAACUCCCAGUACCAUUUAAUUUCCUAUGUUUCAUCUGAGUAGUGUGUCAGGAUGCUAUAGUCAAUCAGAACAGUGUGUUCUUAUGUACAACAUACAUGGUUUUUAUGGAGCUUAUCCAAGGAUAAAUUAGAAACUGGCUUGCUGCCUCUAUUUUAUUUUUCUUUUUUACUCUUUUUGAAGUUUGAAUUUUUACAGUCUACAGAGGAUACAUUUAGUCAUUUUGAUGCUGUUUUAUUUUCUGGGCAGGAUUUUAGAAGAUGCCCUGAAAGAUAGACAAUUAAUCUUGUCGUUUAUAUUCAGUAGACAUUACCUAACCAAAUAAGCAAGGGUGUAUUGAGCAUCUCCUAUGUUCAGAUAACCAUGCUGGGGUUGGUUAUCAAGAUGAGUUAGAUAUAAUUCUUUAUAAUGGGAUAGCCAUCAACUUAAGAUUCAACCUAAGUUCCUAUCUUCUAUCUGUUGUUUAGACACCAAGUCAUAUCUGACUCUUUUGUGACCUCAUGAUCUGUAGCCCACCAGGCAUCUCUGUCCAGGGGAUUUCCCAGGCAAGAAUUCUGGAGUAGGUUGCCAUUUCCUCUCUGGGGGGAUCUUCUCAAUCCAGAGGUCCAACCUGCAUCUCAUGCUUGGCAGGCAGAUUCUUUACCACUGAGCCACCACAGCCCUUAGUAAAAGUAAGACUGUGAGCAAAGGCUUCUUUGAACUUCCAGAAAUGUGAAAAUGAGACCUAUCUCCCAGAGGGGUUUAUAAGGAUUAAUUGUGGUAAUGCAUGUGAAAACACCAAAUACAGUACCUUGGGCAGAGCAAGUGAUUUACCAAAUGUUAGUUUCCAUCUUCAAAGAGCUCACAGCCUAGUAGAAAAGAUGAGCUAUCUAUAAAUAACUGUAAUAUAAGGCAGAAGUGAGAAGUGGCACGAGAGAGGUCCAGCCAGAUAAGGAGCUGUUGGAGGUCAGACAUGAAUUUUGUUAUGGGGAUGAGAGAAGGUUUCUUGGAGUAUUUUCAUGGCAUCUUAGCUAGCCCUUAAAAAGGGAAGAAAAUUUAGACACGUCAAGAUACAGGCCCUGUGAUUUGUGCUUUUAUCUCCUGGUUGAUCUUCCACUAGCUUGCUUUCUGUGCAUUAUCCGGUGCUCGGGUUUUCUCUGACUUCUGGCUGUGCUCGUGUAUCAUUCAGGAUUAAUAUAUUUUCCUGCAAUGGCACGCUGUCUGGUCUGAUGCUUUUACACUUUUUAGAAUUUUAUCUCAUGUAAAUAAAAUAACUUUAUCUGUUUCUAGGAGUCAUUUUUUCCCCUGAAAUAAUUUCUGAUAGCAAGAUGGAUCCAAUUAGAGUAAUUUCCUGUGGUUGGUGGGCAAAGAUCUAUGCUAGUUUUGGGGGAAGCUCUUGAAGGGAAUUGUUCAUGACCCUUGCAAUCCAAGUUUUCUUUCAGAGAAAAAGCAACUGUCAGAUUUGUUUUUCUUUUCGGUGUGUGAUCCUGGAUAUCCUCGCCAUUGUCGCCCACACAACUCGUUUCAUUUAUGAUGCUGCAUCGUAGUCCCUUAUGAUAGCACUGCAGCCUGCAUUGACCUCUGCACUUCACCGAAGACCGGAUUUAGAAAAUUGCAUAAGCCGUGGAUCAGCUGUUUGGAGUUACUCCUUUCUAGUGACUUACAAAUUUGUACUAGAUUAAGAGUCCCAGAUGUGGCUUUUCCUUCUUCUUUACCUCCAAAGUCAUGUAGCCUCUACCAAAAUUGAUUCAAGAUCUCUCACAUACCUUUACUCUUGUGAAUGUUUGAGUGAUCAUAUUUUCUGAAUCCAAAGUUGGAAUAUAUUACAUAGAAUCCAAUUUAAGGGCUGAUUUUAUCAUAUAUGUGUGUGUGUGUGUGUGUGUUGUGUGCAUAGCUCAAACCUGGUUGGUUGCUAUAUCAUUUUUUUACUAUUAAGGACCCUUUUCUCCUUUUCAGAUGUCAGUUAAAAAAAAUUAGUUUCCUUUAAAUUGCAACAUUGAAUUUUGGCCCUAAAGUGGAUAACUUUGAUUAGAAUAUAAGGUAUUAAGAGUUCUUAAUUAUUAAUAGCUGUUAAUAAUAAUCAUGAUAUAAGAGGAUGUAUUUAGAUUUGGGGGAAUGUUCAGAUAAGUGACUGUAUGGUUGUUUAUUCCUGGUUCAUAACAAGGCAUAUCUGAGGGCUGUAUUCCUUUUGAUUUGGGAUCAAACAAUUGUUUGCUGAUGGGCUUGGCCUUCCUUUCUUGGCUGGCAAUUCUCUGCCAUUAAAAAGAAUCAGUCUCUGAGAUCUUAGUGGUAAGGAUUCAGAGGGGCAACAUCUGCCUCCCUAGAUGGGAGCCUGUCAUUUUAUUUUGUUCUUUUCACGUUUGGGAUCCAACAAGUAGGGUUUUGUGGACAGAGAAGGGACUCUACCUUUAAUCCUAACAUCAGGUGUUGCUUAUAUGAGUGAGUAGAUUAGUGGUGUCUGGGUUAUAGAGUAGGUUUCUCUGAAGGACCUGGCUGCUCUCAACUACUGGUUGAAGUUUUGCCUUCGGCUAACUGUCCAGAAGGAAUUUUGACAUUUGUUUGGAGAGCCUCACUUGACCUCUUUUGGGGGAGCUGAAUUGGACUGAACGUGAGAAUUCCCUCUGGACUUGAUCUCUCAGGAGACUAGAGGUCACUGCCUUUGAUGCAUUAUUCAAUAAAGGGAAAGAAAUAAGCUAAACCCCUUAAACCUUUGCUUGUUUUUAUGUGUGGAGAGACAAGAAGACAUGACCCUUCAAUUCAGUCUGGAUUUUGAGCUCAUUCUUGACUGCCACUAACCAAGGUCAAAUGUGAAGAGAUUUCUCCUACCAAGCAUCACACUCUUGAAUCUCAGCCAAUCUGCUUUCUUGACUUACUUUUUUUAGACUGCUUGCAGCAAUAAGCCCAUUUGGUUGGUUAAAACAGAGCUAAUACAUUCAUUCAUGCAAAUAAAUAUUUAUUAAGUACUCUAUUGGAUUGACUAGUGUCCCUCAAAAAUUCAUGUCUACCAAGAACCUCAGAAAAUGACCUUAUUUGGAAACAGGAUUGCUGCAGAGGUAAUGUAUUAAACUGAGGUCAUGCUGGAUCAGGGUAGGCCUGAAAUUCAAUAACAGCUGCUGUUAUAAGAAGAUUUGAUGAUGGAGACAGAAGUUGGAGGGAUGCAGUUACAAACUAAGGAAUGUCAAAGGUUGCCAGCAGCCACAAGAAGCUGGAAGGAGCAAGGGAGAAUUCUCUAGAGCCUUCUGAGGAAGCAUGGCCCUGCCAACACCUUGAUUUCAAUCUUCUAUCCUCCAGACCUGUAGGAGAAUAAAUUUUUGUUUCUUAAGGUAUCAGUUUGUGGUAAUUUGUUACAGCAGUCCUAGAACGUUAAUACACAUUCUUACUGUGGACCACUAAUUGUCCCAGCUAAUUGUUGUACUGCAUGAACUAAGUCAGUAGUCCUUUUUCUCACCUUGAUAAUGGAGGAUAUCCUAUUCGUUUGUUUGGAAAGGUAGAAGCACAGAUCAAAAGUAUAGUCAACAUUUAUUGAAAUAUUAUUUUCAUUGUUCUUAAAAUGUUAUACAUUGAAUCAUCUCACCCAAAAAUGUAUAUAUUGAAGCCCUAAGCUCAGAGUUUGACUGUAUUUGGAAAUAAUGCUUGUAGGGGUGCUUACAUUAAAAUGAAGCUGUCAGGCUGAUCUUUAACCCAAUCUGACCACUUUUUUAAUAAGAAGGGGAACUUUAGUUAUACACAGGGCACCAGGGCUGUGCAAGCACAGAGGAAAGAUGAUGUGAUUACCCAGGGAAAAGGAAGCCAUCUGCAAGUCAAGGAGAUGGGCCUCAGAAGCAACAACCUUGCAGAUACCUUGGUCUCAGACUUAUAGCUUCCAGACUGUAAGAAAAUACGUUUCUAUUGUUUAAGCCACCCAGCCCAUGGUAUUUGUUAUGACAGCCCUAGCAAAUUAACAUAAGGAUUUAC